GACCUGGGCUUGACCUUCAGCCAGGAGCUCUUCUGAGUCCUCAUGGAGCUCAUUAUCUUUUCAGCUCCCUGCCAGGGAUCUCCCUAUCAGCUGCGCCACCUUGCCUGGCCUUUUGGUGUUGUUUUUAAACAAAGGUAAGGUGGCUGCUUGCUUUCCCUCUUUCUCUUCCUCCCUCCCUUCCCUUCUCUGCCCUUCCCUUCCCCUUCUCCUUCCUUCUUCCUUCUUUUCUUUCUGUAAGGUCCUUGCUUAGCAUUUGGACUGCCAUCUUAAGGGACAGCCACCAUUUUAAGGAAAAAGUUUCGCUUUCCCCCCCAAGGGCGUUUCUGAGAAAGGCUCACCACUCCCUCAUCCCAACCCAACCUCUAACCGCCUGCAUUAGGACCCGCCCAGCUCUGAUUGCUGAGCCGGCUCCAUAAAAGUCCCAGAACCCAAGCCUGCUUUGCCUCUCUCCACUCUAGAGAGAUGGCCUUUAUUUGUCAGCUCUGCGGUGUAUCUCUGCCUGGUCUCAGUCUUUCAUUUCUCAUUUACCUGUCUCUCAUUCCUUGCUUUCCCUUCUCUCCCUCCCUCCCUUCCUUUAUUUCUUUUUCUCCUGAACCCAGGCACUCUACCACUGAGCUACACCCCCAGCCCUUUUACUUAUUUUUAAAAUUUGAAACAGGGUCUCACUGAGUAGCUCAAACUGGCCUCAAUCCUGCAAUUUUCUUGCUUCAGCCUCCUGAGUCGCUGGAAUUACAGGUGUGCGCCGCCACAUAUUUUUGGGGUGGGCACUGGCUGAAUCCAGCCAGCUGGGGUCCAGGCGGUUCCCUGGUCUAGGCUGCCAGUAACAGGAGCACCUGGGCGUGGCUUCAGAUGGCAUGCCCGUGGCCCUCAGCAACCAACUGACUUUCUGUGAGCCUCAGUGUUCUCAUCUGGGCCUUGAAGAUGGUGAGCCCAGUGGGGCAGGACUAGGUGAGGAUCAAGAGAAGAUGGCUGUAAAGGGCUCAAUCAGUACUGCCCUGAACUGUGGCCCUGCGCUGUAAGAGGACCUCAUUCUGGUCCUCUUCUGCCUGUUCUCUGUCCCACUGGGACAAACAGUGAGGGCUUCUAAGGUUCCUGACUUCAUAGUUUGGGGGCAGUUUAACCUGGGUCUCCUGCCUGUCUCUAUAGACUCUCCAAGGGACUAGGCCGCCUCUUCUAAACCUCUUCCCUGUGGCCCCUUCUGGGGGAAGAAGCUAAAGGUGGACAAAGGUCAGAUUUGAGCCAGACCAGAUGGUCCUACAGGAAGUGGGGAAGGUGCCUGCCUUUGGGUCUAUUCUCCCCACAGAGAAAAGGGUCAAGGUUCUGGGAGUGGAGGAAACUGAGGGCCUCAAUCAGGCUGGAGGACACCCCGACUCUGGGACCUUUGGAAGGAGGAAAUCUUCCCAGAGGGGAGGAGAGUUAGCCCUCCAGUCCUUAAAAGGAGAGGACCUGAGACAGCUGUGGCUGGUAGUGAGCCACAGGCUGGGAGGGAGAACUUAUCCUGUCCCCAGCCUCAGACCAGAGCCCCCCCCAGGGGACUCCAGGGGCCUCUGCAGGGCUAGAGCUGGGUUUCGGUUUCUGCAGGGGAGGGGCUGCAGAGGUACCAGCCCAGGAAGGCUAGAGGGAGGACUGGGUGGGGGUAUGGAGCAGGAAAAAUGUGGGUCAAGGGUGGAGGGCGGUGUCUCAGGCACCCUGAGAAGGUCCAGGCUGUGAGAGAGUCCCCUCUGUGGGACGAGUUAGUUAUCCAAGGGCGCAGUCUCACCCUGUGUGUCCAUCUCAGCCCACAGAUUGCUUCUGCUCCUACCCUGGCAGCUUUGGGACUGAAAGGGCAAAUUUCCUGAGUUGUAUGAGCUUUUCGCAGGCAGUAGGGACUCCGUCUGAGAAAGGCAGGCAGGUGGCUAGGUGAGUGGAAAGGGGCUUACCUUGUUUCCGGUGCUGAAUAGUAAUGACCUGUCUAAAGUUACCAGAUUUAGCAAACAAAAAUAUGGGACUUUCAAUUAAAUUUGACUUUCAGCUAAACAAUGAAUUUUUUGUAAAUAUAACUAUGUCCCAUUCCAUGAAAUAUGUGGGUCAAGUUAAUACUCAAAAAUUGUUGUUCAUCUUAUAAAAACCAUGUGCUAACUGCUUGCCCAACUGGAGCUUCUAUUUGUUGUUUAUCUUUAAAUUCAAUUUUAACUGAGCUUUUACAUUUUAUCAGACAUCCCUAGGCUUGUCCCACUGUGGUCCCAGUGGACAUUCUCAAGUCCAUCCCUGAAACAGAGCCAGGAUCUUGACAACAGAAAGGAGCCUGUCUAAGGUUACCAGAUUUAGCAAACAAAAAUAUGGGACUUUUAAUUACAUUUGCCAGUAUAGGCCUGACAGGUCUCCCUGAUAACAGAGAUAAGAUCAUACUUGAGAUUAGAUCUUACCAGAGAUUGCUGAAAUCUUCCUAGGAGAGGAUUUCAAGCAAGAGAUUUCAAAGUAUAGCAAGGUUUAUUAAAAAAGAAAGAAGGAGGGUUGCUGUUGUGGCUGAGCGGUAGAGCACUUGCCUAGCAUGCUCGAGGCCCUGGGUUCAAUCCUCAGCACCACAUAUAAAUAGAGGUAUUGUGUGCAACUAAAAUAUAAACAAAUAUUAAAAAAGAGAGAGUGAUAAAGAAGAUGGCAAUGGAAAGGGAGGGGGAGAGAGGGUGUGCGCACCAAAGGAGUGAACAGGCCCCUCAGAGACAACUCACUUCUUUGUGUCUCAGUUUUUACUGCAGUUGGAGGGAAAUUGUUAUAAGGUCCCACUCAAGUAUCACCUCUGGGCUCUGGAUGGGCAGACUACAUUGCUAAGAACCAAAGGGCAACUCUCGAUCAUCUUGGCCUGGCUGACAGGUCCUAAUUGAAACUGGUUUUUCAGAAUUUAUGGUCAGUGGGCUCCAGUCUUAAUCAUUGUGCUUUCCUAGGUCUGAGAUUCUGGUCUGUGUUGUUUGCAUAGGGUCUUGUUUUUUAGUGUUUAUGCCACUCUGAGCAAACAUAUCCCGUCCUUUGCUUCUUACCCCCUGAAUUUAUCCAUCUUCCUCCUGUUGUAAGAGGAAUAGUUUGUAGGGCUGAGAUCAGGCAAGGGUCUGAAACAGCUAUCUUGUCUGACCUUGAGGUGCCCCUGAGGCAGGAUUGUUGAUGAACUGAUUUGCUCUAUGGUAAGUAUUUUCUUAAACUCCUGACCCACUGCUUAUAUCUAACUGCUUCCUAACAGUCUGUCUCCCUAACCCUGCCAUUCCCCUUGCACAAAAUUCUAGAUCUGACACCAGGGAUCCUAAGGCAAACUAAGCCCAGGAUGCUUGGCCAAUUGCUCUGUAUCCCUCCCCACUAGCACACACAGCCAUCCACUGACAACUCUUAUCCAGGUGGAGGUGGUCAGGGAGAGGCUUGUGGGGCUGGGCUUAAAGAAUGCUUGGGAGGAGGCUGGGGUUGUGGUUCAGUGGUAGAGCGCUUGCCUCAUACGUGUGAGGCACUGGGUUCGAUCUUCAGCACCACAUAAAAAUAAAUAAAGUAAAGGUAUUGUGUCCAUCUACAACUAAAAAAUUUUAAAAAAGAAUGCUUGGGAGGGGCUCAGGUAUAGCUCAGGGCAGAGUGUUUGCCCAGCAUGUGCAAGGCCCUGGCUUUGAUUCUUAGUAGUGCAAAAAAAGAAUUCUUGGGAGAAAAUGCCCCUCUAUUCUGGGAAUCCCAAGUAACUUCCUUGCAGGCCUGGUGUUUGAAUACAGGGUGAUACAGGAGCUGGGAGGCCAAGGCCGGGUUCUUAGGGCUUUGGAUAUUAGGCCAAAGUGCUUUUUGUACUUUACACUAAGCAGUGGGGAAUUGUAGAAGGGAAUUUUUUUCUUUUUUCUGGGAGUGCCAGGGGUUGAACUAGGGGUGCUUUACCACUGAGCCAUCCCAGCCUUUUUUAUGUUUUAUUUUGAAACAGGGUCUCAGUGAGUUGCUUAAGGCCUUGCUAAAUUGAUGAGGGUGGCUUUGGGUUUUUUUGUUUUGUUUUGUUUUGUUUGUUUUCUUGGUACCAGGGAUUGAACCCAGGGGUGCUUAAACACUGAGCCAUAUCUCCAGCCUUUUUUAUAUUUUAUUUAGAGACAGGGUCUUGCUGAGUUGCUUUAGGGCCUAACUAAGUUCUGAGGCUAGCUUUGAACUUGAGUCCUCCUGCCUCAGCCUCUGAGCUGCCAGGAUUACAGUCAUGUGCCACCAUACUGGACUGAGGGGAUACUUUUAAAUGGUAAAUUUGUUGGUUUGGGUAAACAAGUAAAUCAAGAGAGGGCAGUGUUCUCUAAGUGGAACCUGAAAGUCCCCAAGAUACUUCGAGGAGAUCUGCAAUGUCAAAACUGUUUUCAUAGUAAUACGGAGACCCUAUAUGCCCUUCUCACUUGACUGAUGGCUCUAAAGUAAUAGUGAAUGUGUUAUCACUUUAGCACAAGUUAAGACAGUAGCACCUGAAGGGGGUCAAAAUAAGCCAAUUGGCAUGAGGAUUAUUUCCAGCUGAAGGCAAUGAACAACCAACUGCUACAGGAAGAGUUCUCUGCCCUCUUAUAUGUCAAAAUACCAGGCAUAAAUUUCCCUCUGUGAAGAUGUUUGUCCCUGUACCAGAAAGGGAAAAGCUUCUCCCCACAGGGAUGGAGAGCAGGCAGUGAGAUGAGUUUGCAUAAACAGUCCUUAGUAAAAUAGCCCUUAUCUUCCAUUGGGUCCCCCAUAGAUGUCCUGGUCACUUCCCACAAAUUAUCACCCUUGUAGCCCAAACUCUCUUUCCUUUGUCUCAGUGGUAUAAGUCCCCAAGUCCAGUCACUUCAUAGAGUCUCAGUUCUGUUCUGUGAAUGCCCAUGCACAUAAAUAUUAAUGAAGCUGUGUUCCCCUGUUAAUUUGUCUUUUAUUAGUUUUAUUUGCAGGUCUUCAUUAAUGACCCUAAGUGGGUAAUGAAAGUCUUUCCUCCCUGACACCAAAUUGUACUAGUAAUCUCUAGUACUUUUCUAUUUUUCAUUUCUUUUUU
rnacentral:lncRNA from 1 species